AGGCGAAAAGACGGAGCAGCACAGUAGUGCAGCAUGUGAUCUGGACACAAGCGAUGAAAGCACAACUUGUAGAACUUUUGCAAGCUCUUCCGAGCCUUUUCGAUGUCUCCUCACAAAAUUAUCACGACCACAACAACCGUGAAAAUAUUUGAAUGGACAUUGCUGCUCAAUCACAGCUGCCUGAUCAAUAUUUUUCAUUAGCAAUUUAGCACAGUUGAUGGUGGUGGUGUGUGUGUCUGUGUGAGUGAAAGACAGAGAGGGAGAGAGAGGGACAGAUUGAUGCUUAGUGUGAGCACUCAGGUCGCAUCAGAGCAUCGGGCCGUAUAGUGUGAGACCCUGCAUCGUGACCUACGAACUUCUAACCCCUGCGAGUCAAUCGUACAGUUUGAGCAGGCGCUGAAUAACGCCACUGAAAAAAUCGCACAGCGUAUGCCCAAGGCUCCGCCGAUGCUGAUGGAAAUGGACAAAACGUUAAGAAACGCAAAGCCAGAGGAACAGACUAACACACACUAAUGCUGUUUUUGACUUCUAUUUAUGCCCUCAGUAGGCGUGACCUAACGGCCGCACUUCAAAGCACGGCUGAACUUCAAAGCACUCAGCCUUUUGACGCGUCAUGUAAUCUUCCUUCUAAUAGCGCAACUCCUCCCACUCAUUCAUAAUCCGACCUCCGCGUUUGCACUCGUCCUACAAGAGCUCCCAAAUUUGAACAUCACUGAUGUUCAUCGGAUUCUAGUGACGACAAACCCCGUCAGCAUGUUAGAUAAAGGAUUUAAGUUAUAUGCUGCAUCAUAUAUACACAACUACGAAGGUAAGAAAACGUAAAUUAACCGACAAAGAAACGUUAGCUAACGUGAAAUGCAAACACUACGUUACUCCGCUAUGUGUUUCAUUUGAUGUCAAUUCUCUACAUUACAUGUUUCCUUAAACGGUGUUUAUAGUUGAGGUUUAACUAAUGUCACUUUUGUUGUUAGACACUUUUAUAAUAGCGUUAGGUAGUUGGCUAACUAAGCAGGUAGUUAACUACCCAAUGCUACUCUUGCUACGUGUAAAGUAUAUACGUUUAAGACGUGUUGACAUGAGUAGUACAGAAAUAAUGCUAAUGGUUCUUGUAUCUUUAUUCAGUGUCCAAAAAACACAGGUUGACAGGGGAGGUCGGUGUGAGAGCCCUGUGCUACAGGUCAAUGAGGAAGAGUGAGGCACCACACAGACUAAGUAUUAAGCUUCUGGAUUCAUCGCCAGUGCUCCUGUGUGGCAGGUGCUGUUAUGUGCAAUCACACAGUGGCACUGCUCUUCCAAACAGCACACUACUCACAACUCAGAGUGCCGGUUGUCCCCUGUGCAUAGCUGCACCGAAUCUGAACAGCAAUGGCACAAGCCACGGACAGUGGUAAUUUAAAUAAGGUUAAAGUUUUUGAAUUAGACCAUGUUUACAUAUGAACAGCAACACCAUCCAUAGUAAAUGUGUCUUCUGUUAGGGUGUGAAGCCAGGACCUAUCAACUCUAUGAUCUUCACUAAGCCGGUACCAAAUAGGAUGGCCCAGACUGGAG
ensembl:lncRNA